UGGGGAAUAUUGGACAAUGGGGGAAACCCUGAUCCAGCAAUGCCGCGUGAGUGAAGAAGGCCUUAGGGUUGUAAAGCUCUUUCGCCCGCGAAGAUAAUGACGGUAGCGGGAGAAGAAGCCCCGGCUAACUCCGUGCCAGCAGCCGCGGUAAUACGGAGGGGGCUAGCGUUGUUCGGAAUUACUGGGCGUAAAGCGUACGUAGGCGGAUGCGCAAGUUGGGGGUGAAAUCCCGGGGCUUAACCUCGGAAUUGCCCUCAAAACUGCACGUCUUGAGACCGAGAGAGGUAAGGGGAAUUCCUAGUGUAGAGGUGAAAUUCGUAGAUAUUAGGAAGAACACCAGUGGCGAAGGCGCCUUACUGGCUCGGUACCGACGCUGAGGUACGAAAGCGUGGGGAGCAAACA
rnacentral:rRNA from 1 species